UACGGCCACACUGUAACACAUCACCUUAUUCCAUGCUUUCCAUGGCACUCUCUUGCUGACUUGUUCAUUGUCCUAUUUCCACCGCACCCAUUCCCCACCACUGUGUUCUCCAGAAUCUAUAAGACUACCUGGCACUUGGUGAAUGCUCAGUAAAUAUUCAUUCAAUAAAAGAUGAAUAAAUAGAAGGUCAAGAGCUAAAAGGAAACUCUACAGGAGGAGGAGGAGACAAGCAGUCUGCUCACUUUUUUUGCCAAAAUAGAUUUUUCUCCACCAAGAAUCCCCCAGUUAAAAAUCUGGGUCCAUUUGCAAUAUUUUAUUUUGCAUUCAGAGGCCCGAAUACUUGAUCUGUGGUUCUUCUUUACAGCCUCGAGAGUCACGCCAAAAAAAUUAAAAAUCCACCCAUCCUGUUGAACUACCAGAAAGAUGAUUUUCAUGCUUUCAAACUCAAUAUUUUUACUGGAAUACAGAGAUGUGAUUCUGGAAAGAAAAAAAAAAAAAGGAACAAGUGUCCACCGUGGUAAGUCAUUAAAGUUGAACAGGGUGAUAAGGCCAGACAGCAAACUGUUCCCUCAGAACUGAGCCAACAGAGCACGUCUCGUGAUAAUAUUAUUUAAAUCAACAGCUUCCAUGACCUGUGGAAUUUAUUGAUGAAAUCAGAAAUGCUCCCUGUUCCAGACUUUCUGAAUCUUCUUUUAGAAUUUCACAUGGCAGGUCGGCACUGAAAUAUUUCGGAUUCCAAAAUAUUUUUUUUUUCAAAAAGCAAGCUCAAAAUAUCAACCUGUCAGACACUGUCUAAAGUUAUUAGCCUGUGUGGUGGAUGCGUCGCGGAGGCUGGUUGGAAAGUUGGCCAGGUGUCUUUCCCCCUUCGCUUUCUUUUCUUUACCGAGUGUGUUUUCCUAGGACUGUGGUUCACAUAUUUAUAAUUAGCGCAGAAAAACAGAGAAGGAGAUGAUCAUGUUCUUUCCCCAUUCCUGGCAAUGCUCUCACCUCUAGCUUAACACUGUAACAUCUUGAGGGCCUGGAGAGAAGGUGGAAGAAGGAGGAGAGAAGGGAGGAGGAAGAAGCGGAGGAGGAGCAGGAGGAAAAGAAGGAGUUCCCUGCAAAUUGUAGUUCCAGUUCCAGGCCCAGAAAACUGUCGAACCUGAAAUUGCCUUGCCCCCUUGUAAUUCUGAUAUGCUGGAAUCAGGUCAAACCGAGGAAUGUUGUGUCUUAAAAUUAAUUCGAAUAAAUUAAUUCCUUAAUGAAACCUACCA
rnacentral:lncRNA from 1 species